AGUGAACGCUGGCGGUAGGCCUAACACAUGCAAGUCGAACGGCAGCACAGUAAGAGCUUGCUCUUACGGGUGGCGAGUGGCGGACGGGUGAGGAAUACAUCGGAAUCUACUUUUUCGUGGGGGAUAACGUAGGGAAACUUACGCUAAUACCGCAUACGACCUACGGGUGAAAGCAGGGGAUCUUCGGACCUUGCGCGAUUGAAUGAGCCGAUGUCGGAUUAGCUAGUUGGCGGGGUAAAGGCCCACCAAGGCGACGAUCCGUAGCUGGUCUGAGAGGAUGAUCAGGCCACAGAGAAGUUAGGCAAGGUCCAGACUCCCUAGGGGGGGAGGAGGGGGGAAUAUUGGCCAAGGGGGGCAAGGCUUGUCCAACCCUUCCGGGUGGGGGGAAAAGGCCUUCGGGGUUGUAAGCCCUUUUGUUGGGAAAGAAAAGCAGCAGGUUAAUUCCCCGCCUUUUUGAGGGUAACCAAAGAAGAAGCACCGGCUAACUUCGUG
rnacentral:rRNA from 1 species